rnacentral:sRNA from 1 species
GCUGGGUGUGGUGGCUCAAGCCUGUAAUCCCAGCAACUGGGGAGGCUUAGGGAGGAGGAUCGAAAGUUUGAGGCCAGCCUCAGCAACUUAGUGAGAUCCUGUCUCAA